rnacentral:rRNA from 1 species
GAUGAACGCUGGCGGCGCACAUAAGACACGCAAGUCGAACGGACUUAACCAUUAGUUUACUAUUGGAGCGGUUAGUGGCGGACUGGUGAGUAACGCGUAAGCAAUCUGCCUAUCAGAGGGGAAUAACAGUGAGAAAUCACUGCUAAUACCGCAUAAGCUGUGAGUAUCGCAUGAUACAAAUAGAAAAGGAGCAAUCCGCUGAUAGAUGAGCUUGCGUCUGAUUAGUUAGUUGGCAGGGUAACGGCCUACCAAGGCGACGAUCAGUAGCCGACCUGAGAGGGUGAUCGGCCACAUUGGGACGGAGACACGGUCCAA